UAAGAAGGGGGCUAGCGUUGUUCGGAAUCACUGGGCGUAAAGCGCACGCAGGCGGAUCGAUAAGUCGGGGGUGAAAGCCCGGGGCUCAACCUCGGAAUUGCCUUCGAUACUGUCGGUCUCGAGUCCGGGAGAGGUGAGUGGAAUUCCUAGUGUAGAGGUGAAAUUCGUAGAUAUUAGGAAGAACACCAGUGGCGCAAGCGUUCUGCUGGGCUGUAACUGACACUGAGGCACGAAAGCUAGGGGAGCGAAAGGG
rnacentral:rRNA from 1 species